CGCAAGUGCCCUGCCCGCCACCGCCCCAGUCAACACCAGGCGACACCGUCCCUGCCAACCCCAGGUGCCGCCGCCGCCCUGGCAAUCCCAGGCCCCGCCAGGCUCCUGCUGUGACGCUGCUCCCGCCACGCGAUGCCGGCCUCCUCUCACGACGCCGCCGCCGACCCGCGCCACCACGUGCAGCCGCCGCUGCCGCCCCAACAUCGGUGAUGCCCACAUCUCCUCUUCCAACUCCGGUACGGCUUCUUCCCUUACCUCAAGAUCCUCCCAAGAUGGAGAUCCCCGUCCCUGCUCCCCAACCUGGCCGCCAUCGCCUCCACAGCACAGCUCCGACAUGCAGCUCCGAGUGCCUCUGCCUCUGCUGGCUCUAAUUGCCUCCGCCCGACGUCGGGCUCUGUAGAAAACCCUACUGUAUCACAUUUGUUUGUCGUUAUCCUCUGAAAAUGGCAUUAUUGCAGGUCAGUUUCGGCUGAUGCAUCAGUUCAGUUGCAAAAAAGAAAAGCGUUAUACCUUGUUGUCUACUCCGCUGACUUCUUUUCCUAUACUAUGUAGGUCAGCUUCGCCUGAUGCGUAAGUUCAGUUUCAUAGUGCACGAUAGGCAUGAUUCAGUAACGGUGCGGCUUCAAUUAGUUCGUAGCCAUCCUUUAGAAAGAUCAUACCUUGAUAUUCCAUUGUUUUAUCCUUUGUCCUGCGCAUUUUUAAGAACUAAAGUAAUGAAAGAAUUAUAUACCAUUGCAUCAUACCAACAUGGUUACAAAGACUUGUGUGAAUAGGCAAGAAAGGUCCAACUAGCAAAAGCGAUAUACUAUGAGUUUAUAGCCACAUGAAAAACAAAAUAUGUAUACAUGUUUGCUAUGUUGACGCAUAUAUUUAUCCUUAUUUACUUAUGCACUUUUGAAUGAUCCACCAUAUCUGCAAUCAUCAAACUGGAAGACAUAUUGUUUAAGGCCUAAUUUGCAGGUUACUUUCACUGCUUAUCUUUCUUUGUCAGCGCGCCUCUUUCCUCCAAUAAUAUGUCGAAGCUACUCCUUACAGCAAGGGAACGGUAGAUGAAAUCUUCACCAGUUACAAAUGUAUGCUGAAGCUACUCCUUACAGCAAGGAAACGGUGGAUGAAUCUACACAAGUUACAAAUGUACGCUGAAGCUACUCCUUACAGCAAGGAAACGGUGGAUGAAUCUACACAAGCUACAAAUGUAUGCUGAAGCUACUCCUUAAAGCAAGGAAAUGGUGGGUGAAUGCCUUCUGCCUUCAGAUAUUUGGUUCACGUCGGACGUCGAUGGCGAUAUAUGUAGAAAUCUUCUAGUAUCUCUUUUGCCUCCCCUUUUCCCUCUUCCAUUUUGUUGUUUGGAAAUCUCUGGUAGGCCUUUGAUUCACAAAGACUUCGGCAAUUAUUUGUACAAUAUAUAUGCAUAGGAAUUUUGUUCUCCAUUUUGUUUAUUGGUACAUGUGUGAUGGUUUUCAUGUUAUGAAUAUAUUGGUUUGUGUGAAGUUCAUGUGCGACUACCCAAGGAGUUCAACAAUCACUCACCACGAAGGAAGAAGAGGUGAGCAACUCCCAGGCUGUUCAACUUCGCUGCGUCAGGCUGUGCAAUUUCGCUCGUGUGAACAAAGGGGGAGCAGUUUCUUCUUAACUGUUGAUUCUGCACUUGUAUGGUGCAUUUUGUCUCAGCUUUUAGGUGAAUUCAUUGCUUCUCUUACAUUGUGUUCAACAGGGUACAAAAUGUUUGCAUACAAAAUGUUUGUGUAUGUGUGUAGGAGCUGCUGUUGUGCUAGUGCCAUGAGAAAAUGGAGCUUUUUCCGAGUUGUUUUUUCUGUAAUACAUGUGAAGACUUCGGUAUGA
rnacentral:rRNA from 1 species